rnacentral:rRNA from 1 species
UACGAAGGGGGGCUAGCGUUGCUCGGAAUUACUGGGCGUAAAGGGAGCGUAGGCGGAUAGUUCAGUCAGAGGUGAAAGCCCAGGGCUCAACCUUGGAAUUGCCUUUGAUACUGGCUGUCUUGAGUAUGGGAGAGGUUAGCGGAACUCCGAGUGUAGAGGUGAAAUUCGUAGAUAUUCGGAAGAACACCAGUGGCGAAGGCGGCUAACUGGCCCAUUACUGACGCUGAGGCUCGAAAGCGUGGGAGCAAACAGG